rnacentral:tRNA from 1 species
GAGAACCUAGUAAACACUAUUACAUAGCUUUGUCAUGGCUAAAUCACAGCAUCUGUGGUCCUCA